GCCUUCUUAGCUCAGAUGGUAGAGCGGUUCACUCGUAAUGAACAGGUCGCCGGUUCGAUUCCGGUGGAAGGCU
rnacentral:tRNA from 1 species